GAAGAUGUAGCUCAAAGGUAGAGUAUUAGCCUGUCGAGUUAAGGGUCGUUGGUUCGAAUCCAAUCAUCUUCA